UAUUACUUUCCCAUUCUACUGUAGGUUACUCUCCCAUGCUACUGUAGGUUAGUCUCCCCUGCUACUGUAGGUUACUCUCCCAUGCUACUGUAGGUUACUCUCCCAUGCUACUGUAGGUUUCUCUCCCAUGCUACUUACUGUAUAUUACUUUCCCAUUCUACUGUAGGUUACUCUCCCAUGCUACUUACUGUAGGUUACUCUCCCAUGUUACUGUAGGUUACUCUGCCAUUAUACUGGAGGUUUCUCUCCCAUGCUACUUACUGUAUAUUACUUUCCCAUUCUACUGUAGGUUACUCUCCCAUGCUACUUACUGUAGGUUACUCUCCCAUGUUACUGUAGGUUACUCUGCCAUUAUACUGGAGGUUACUCUCCCAUGCUACUUACUGUAGGUUACCCUCCCAUGCAACUGUUGAUUACACUCCCAUGCUACUGUAGAUUAUUAUCCCAUGAGAUAGUAGGUUACUCUCCCGUGCUACUGUAGGUUACUCUCCCAUGCUACUGUAGGUUACUCUUCCAUGCUACUGUAGGUUACUCUCCCUUGUUAUUGUAGGUUACUCUCCCAUGCUACUGUAGGUUACUCUCCCAUGCUACUGUAGGUUACUCUCCCAUGCUACUCUAGGUCACUCUCCCAUGCUACUGUAGGUUACUCUCCCAUGUUACUGUAGGUUACUCUCCCAUGCUACUAUAGGUUACUCUCCCAUGCUACCCAUGCUACUGUAGGUUACUCUUCCAUGCUACUGUAGGUUACUCUCCCAUGAUACUGUAGGUUACUCUCCCAUGCUACUGUAGGUUAUUCUCAGAUGUUACUGUAGGUUACUCUCCCAUGCUACUGUAGGUUACUCUCCCAUGCUACUGUAGGUUUCUCUCCCAUGCUACUGUAGGUUACUCUCCCAUGCUACUGUAGGUUACUCUCCCAUGUUACUGUAGGUUACUCUCCCAUGCUACUCUAGGUCACUCUCCCAUGCUACUGUCGGUUACUCUCCCAUGCUACUGUAGGUUACUCUCCCAUGAUACUGUAGGUUAAUAUCUCGAUUGUAUCAUAAUAACUAUUGUCUGGUUUGGGAUGUGCAGUUGCGUAGUGCAGAGAAUAACAUGUACUGAUGUAGAUUGGAACAAACCAUCUACGUAAUGUUGAUGUGUCCGUUUUAAAUGUUACUAUUACUCUUAUUUUAUUCAGGUUGUGUAUGUUUCUGCUGUUGUAAAGGAAUAUAACUUUCCAGGUGAAAUGUAUCUUUGGAGAAAAUGAAAUGUUUGUGGCUUUCACUUUUUUAUUUUUUUAAAAUCUUUUGCUUGCUUGAAAACCGUGCUUACAAAUGAAUGGUGAAUAUAGCUUCUCCAUGUGUUAAUGUAGUGUUAUAAGUCACUGUGGGUGUGAGGUA
ensembl:lncRNA